CCUAUCUGCCGUGGGCGCUGGAGAACUGAGGGGGGCUGCUCCUAGUACGAGAGGACCGGAGUGGACGCAUCACUGGUGUUCGGGUUGUCAUGCCAAUGGCACUGCCCGGUAGCUAAAUGCGGAAGAGAUAAGUGCUGAAAGCAUCUAAGCACGAAACUUGCCCCGAGAUGAGUUCUCCCUGACCCUUUAAGGGUCCUGAAGGAACGUUGAAGACGACGACGUUGAUAGGCCGGGUGUGUAAGCGCAGCGAUGCGUUGAGCUAACCGGUACUAAUGAACCGUGAGGCUUAACCUUACAACGCCGAAG
rnacentral:rRNA from 1 species